UACGUAGGGGGCCAGCGUUGUCCGGAAUCAUUGGGCGUAAAGCGCGCGUAGGCGGCCAGAUAAGUCCGGUGUGAAAGUCAAAGGCUCAACCUUUGAAUGCCGCUGGAAACUGCCUGGCUUGAGUCCGGAAGGGGCGAGUGGAAUUCCUGGUGUAGCGGUGAAAUGCGCAGAUAUUAGGAAGAACACCGGUGGCGAAGGCGGCUCUCUGGAACGGUACUGACGCUGAGACGCGAAAGCGUGGGGAGCGAACAGG
rnacentral:rRNA from 1 species